UAUACAGAGUGAGACACUACUAAAUUCUCCCUAACACUCAAAACACACUUUGGUGUGAAAGGGAGUUUGAUUUUUCAUGUUGUGAAAGAUUGGUGAUGGCCUCAACCACUAAUAUGUCCAACUCAAAAGGACUAAAAUUUGCUGUCAUUUUGAUGUUCAUCUAUUCACUCACAUUCCUUCCUUCUAUAUCAGGUAAAACAAUAGAGGGGGUGACAAAAAACAUGAACCUAAGGAGAAACACAUCAUUAUCUUCUUCUCACUCUUUCUUUCAAUUUUUUGAAAAAGGGAGAAGUGGAGAAAGGAAGCAAAUGAGAAUGGUGAUGUUGGGAUCAAGUCCACCAAAGUGUGUAAAUAGGUGCAAAGGCUGCAGACCUUGCAUGGCUGUACUUGUCAUUCCUCCACAUAUUACUUCUUCUGGGAAAGUUAGCAAAGCGUUAAAUACAUUAUACACUAGAGAAGAUGAAGGCUAUUAUCUCCUAUCAUGGAAAUGCAAAUGUGGAACUAAGUAUUUUCAACCUUGAAAUCUCAUCUAAUAUUAAUUCUUUUUUGCCCUCUUCUAACUUAGGGUAGAAGGUAAAGUUGUAAACAAUUUCUUGGUGUUAAUGCAUUCAUUUUAUGAACGACUUUUAGUUAGUAACUUUACAUGUACAUUACAGAACUCUUUAUAACAAUAUUCA